rnacentral:rRNA from 1 species
UAAAACUGAAGAGUUUGAUCAUGGCUCAGAUUGAACGCUGGCGGCAGGCCUAACACAUGCAAG